AAAGUUACGCUAAUACCGCAUACGAUCUAAGGAUGAAAGUGGGGGAUCGCAAGACCUCAUGCUCGUGGAGCGGCCGAUAUCUGAUUAGCUAGUUGGUAGGGUAAAAGCCUACCAAGGCAUCGAUCAGUAGCUGGUCUGAGAGGACGACCAGCCACACUGGAACUGAGACACGGUCCAGACUCCUACGGGAGGCAGCAGUGGGGAAUUUUGGACAAUGGGCGAAAGCCUGAUCCAGCAAUGCCGCGUGAGUGAAGAAGGCCUUCGGGUUGUAAAGCUCUUUUGUCAGGGAAGAAACGGUGAGAGCUAAUAUCUUUUGCUAAUGACGGUACCUGAAGAAUAAGCACCGGCUAACUACGUGCCAGCAGCCGCGGUAAUACGUAGGGUGCAAGCGUUAAUCGGAAUUACUGGGCGUAAAGCGUGCGCAGGCGGUUUUGUAAGUCUGAUGUGAAAUCCCCGGGCUCAACCUGGGAAUUGCAUUGGAGACUGCAAGGCUAGAAUCUGGCAGAGGGGGGUAGAAUUCCACGUGUAGCAGUGAAAUGCGUAGAUAUGUGGAGGAACACCGAUGGCGAAGG
rnacentral:rRNA from 1 species